AUAACUCCAAUCUGGACCACCUAAUGUCUUCACGCCUCACACUAACACAUGAACCCAUAUUGAUAAUAUUCGGUCUGCUUAUAUGAAAUGUUGCCGUCGUUCCUCCCAUCAUCUCUCGGUGUCUCUGUUUGUUUCCCAGAGGACUUUGAGAAAACGUAGAGGAAAUGCCAACGCCAAUGGAGGAAGCAAGAUUCCAGCGAUGAUACCGAAGAGUCUUUCUUUCUCAGUCUCCCUCUCUUUCUCUUCUCUAAACAGGACGUUCACAUCCACACCCAUCAUCACCAUCAUCAGCUCCAUCAUCACUCUCUGACAGCUUCCACCCUCCUCAAAACAUCCUCCUCUCUUACCCUGUGAGUUCACGUCAAACAACCAAAGACUUCGUGUUUAAAGAGGGUGUUGUGUUAAGGCUCAGUCAGGUCUCUGUUGUUUGGUGUUGGGGUUUCUUGAAGCGUUUGUUUUCGACCGUACCUUGUUCAAAUUUAACGUCUUAUUUGUGUCAAAUCCUUCUUGACCGCUUUCUAAAAGCUGCCCCAGAAGAAAAGAUCUUUGAGUCGUCUGCAAAGAUGAUGAGUUUGAGAGAAUCAGAACCUCUUUUUAUAUGAAAUUUACAUGCAAAAUAAACACUUCAGGUCCUAAGAUUGACCCCUGCGGGACACCACAAGUAAUAUCUCAGAGUCCAUCUGAAUGAAGAGCUACUCCACUAGCUUUCCAUCUUUUUUUUGGUCAUAUAAUCCAUUUUGAUAUAACUAGAGAAGGAAGCGGUCGGCAACAUUCAUCUCUAGAGGUAAUUUUAAGCUGGAAUAUCCCUUUAAUACUGACUUAGUGUGAAUAAAUGUCACAAACCUGAUGCAUUGUGGGAUUUCUGAGCUACUUCUGCUCACUGCACCUUUGUUUACUGGAGGAAUGGGACGCCCUUGUGCGCUGAUAACAAGCACAUGACCGCCAACGACAAACACUCAAGUAUGAUCAAGUCUGCAAAACAGGACAGCCCUAAAGCCGAACUCAAGUGAUGCUCCUCUGAAGCAGACUGCGACCUUUGACCUCUUAUCUGCUGCCUGAAAGGAACCUUCACAUUUCCUCUGUUGUUGCACUGAAGCAGAUUUGUCCAGUUUGUAAUGAAAGAUGCAAUUCAAGAUGACAACCGUGACCUGACACAAAGCGACUGAUUCACCGCCAUGAGGUCACAAAGUGAGAUGUCACUAAAUCCUGAUUGGAUAAGGAUCUAAAUCUACGCUAACGUCUUUUACGGACAUUCCUGUGCCGAGUUUUUACACUUCGAUACGUCUGUUUAAACGUUAUUACAGGAGGAAUGUGUGUCCAAUCAAGCCGCAGACCGAGCGUUUCAGGGAAAAACAAACUGAUAAACCUUCUGAUUAUUGUAGAGGAAAAAGUGGGAUUACAUAAAUUAGUUUGAGAAAAUCACAUCUGAAAACCUGGAGUAUGUCUUGUUUGCAGACUAACAAAGUCAUUAAUCAGCCGCAGGCUUGUUUGGCCUCUUUUUUUACAUCCCCCUCAAGACAAACAAGAGAAAUCUACUGUUUCAGGAGGCUAAAUGACGUAACCUCCAUCUGCUUUUGUGUCCGUACGGCUCUGGAGAUGUACUGUAACACGACAGCGCACAGGGAUAUGUUUUUACUUCUGUCAGACGGAAUUUAGACCUUCAAGGUUCAUACAAGGCACUCGCUCUUUACCUCCUUUCAUCCAGAUGCUUUUCCCGUUUUUGUUUUAUUCAUUGGAGCGGUGAUAAAAAACAGAGGACAGAUCACAGAGGCGACAUGUUUUGUACGUACAAGAUCAUUUUACCAGUUUUUGGACCAAGAUCCACUAUCAAAGUCACCGAUCUGCCAAGAUCUACCAUUCCAGGCUCAGUUGAUGUUUUGGUAUUUGGUGCAAACACAACAAACAGAGUAGUACACCAGAGACAAACCUGAUGAAAGCAGUUGUGUAAGUUGGAAAAGCAGGAAUAAAUGCAUGUCUCUACCUCUGUGGGCCUCUGGCAAUGGGACACGCACUCCACAAACUCUUCUUUCACAGCUUUGUCGUCUGUCAAAGACGUCUUGUUUUCAGCAAGACCGUGACCAAUGUGAUAAGACUCGACUUGGACUUGAGUCCCAUUUUUGACUUGCUUAAUGAAAUCAAGAAAUGACUUGGACUCGCUUGGGACUUGUUUGCUAAAGACUUGACUUGACUUGAGCCCAGUGACUUGGAAAAGUCAAGUCUUUUCAAGUCACUUAAUACCUUACAGUCCAAAUAGUCAGGAAUUACGGCCGUUGGUAACACCGUGUUGUGUUGCCAAGUCUGCUUGUUUUUGGCUUGUUUCUGGAGGUCUGUUUCCUUAUUUCUCUCACGAAACUUGGCAACACUGUCUCAAACUCUAGCCUCCCUCAUAACGACAACACCGGGAGGACUGAACAUAAAUCGCUCGCUAGUAUUGCCCGCCUGUUUCCACGUGUUUCCUUGUGUCUCUCUUUUGUUUUGGAACAGUGAAUUAGAGUAUCAGUUUAAUGUUUAAUUGUAUUUGAGUCUUCCUUAUUUUUGUGCUCAUUGUCCAAGUUUCCAAUUAUUGAAGUUUAUCUGAUUAUUUUUUGUAUGACAUGUAAAAUAGUUUGGUUAAAGCUGCACUAUGUAACUUCACACAAACAAGAACCCUUGUUUAAUAAUAAAUGCAAAUAGUGGAAAAUGCUCAUGAUUGAUGUAAAUCUUUACAUAAAACAAAUGGUUUAUGGCUUUGAUAUGACUUGUUUUUGACUUGAAAGAAACGGUAAGGACUUGGUUGGAACUCGACGCAAAAUUCCUAGGACUUGGUUGGGACUUGAAACAAAAAGUUCGGGACUUGGACUUGACUUGGGACUUGUCUGUGUUGACUUGGACUUGACUCGAGAAUUGAGAGCAAAGGACUUGGACUUGACUUGAGACUUGUCUGUGUUGACUUGGACUUGACUCGAGACUUGAGAGCAAAGGACUCGGACUUGACUUGGGACUUGUCUGUGUUGACUUGGACUUGACUCGAGACUUGAGAGCAAAGGACUUGGACUUGACUUAGGACUUGUCUGUGUUGACUUGGACUUGACUCGAGAGCAAAGGACUUGGACUUGCCUCGGACUUGAGAGCAAAGACUUGAGACUCGACUUGGACUUGCAACAUAAGGGACUUUCCCCCACCUCUGAGACCCGGUGAAAACUGUCUCACUAGGCCUUCAAUUCACACACAAAAACAUAACCCUUUAUUUCUAGUAAUUUAUCAUCAACACUAAUUGAUUGAUUGAUAGCUACUUCUACCACUCUACCUCAACAAACGUUACACCAUCGCUGAAUGUGACUGAUAUACUCUCAUGCUCUCAUUGGCCGUCAUUGGAUAACAAAAGUCGGGAGAUAAAAGGAAGCGUUGCCGUGGUGACAGCUCUGACCCGGCCAACCUGGGUCGUGACCAUCCAUCAUUGGAUGAAAGCCAUGUUGGGAUGUUGGCACCGCGCUGGAGCGGGCGGGGAUUCCUCCAUGGGGAAAAGAGAGGAAAUGUGGAAAAUGCUAACCAGGACUUUGAUCAUGGAGGUCGGCUGUCUCUGACAUCCUCCUCACUGACACAGUGAUGUAACAACCGACUUAUGAUACCUUAAACUUAUCGAUUUAACCGCUAAUGACUCAUCUUUCUGCUGAAACAGCUGAGUGACCCCGAUUUAAAAGUCAGUUUCCCAAACGACCGGAGAUUAAUGAUGCGACUCCUCCUCCCUCGGCCUGAAUACACUCCUGGAAAGUUUCGCUCUUAUUCCCUCCACGUCUCUGACAAGUUUCCCAAAGCUUGUGUAACAUCUCUAAGUCACAUUAAGACGAGGAUUUUUCAGAGAUAACAUCCAACUGGAAAUAACUGAGGCGGGAACAAAUCUGCUUAAACCAAGAAAAGUGCUCACAGCCGAGUGUUUUCUUGGAUUUAAAACCACAGAGUUCAUUAAUCUCUGAUUAAAACUUUAUUUCCACUCAAACAUACUGGAGCUUUUUCACAAAACUGAUCAGAGAUGGGUAAACUGUUGUAAAUACCACUAAAACCUUAUUUAUCUGAACAAUUUGAAAUCUAAAACUCAUAUUUGAUUCACCUCGACAGAUUCUCUCACUCUCCUCAGGUUGUGUUAGGGUGACCAUACGUCCUCUUUUACCCAGACUUGUCCUCUUUUUGUGGGGCUGUCCAGUCUUGUCCAGGGGCGUCUAUAAAAUCCUUCUUGUGUGGAAGUUUUGAGUUUGUGUCGCCUGGACUUACUGAGUCAGAAGCGUGUUAAAAACACUCGAUCUGACCCGAAAAACUCUCAAAAUUAACUAUGCACAACUACAGAUUCAGAAUAUGGUCACCCUAGGUUGUAUUUAUGCAUGAUAUUUGAUUUCCAUUACCAAUAUCUAUACUGAUACAUACCCACCGAUGUGUGCUGCAAAUAUAGAAAAGCAGUGAUAUUACACCUUGAGUAAUUUCAAUAUAAUCAGCGCUGCUAAUGCUAAUUAACAACCAAGAUGACUGUCGCUAAUAUCUGAAUGUUGGUCGGCAUGAAACCUUUAACAUUCAACAGACUGGGAGUCAUUAAUGCAUCCGGCUAAUUGCUACCAAAUCCGACCAUGCCGGUUGAAUGUUAACGGGUGAUGGAAGCGGCACUGAGUGCGGCCUGUAAAACUUUUGAAAAAAUUCAAACAAGUUAAGAAAAUGUUCCGCCUCGUGGAAAUUUGUGGUGCUAGCUAAUAGCAUGCCGUUUGAGUUUUCUAUCUGCGCUCCAAACUUGACUUAAAUUGGGUUGACCACUUUGGUGGAGAACUUCAAGUAUGAAAUGGCGAAGAAAUACCUUACGGCUAAAUUCCGCAGGAUCUGGAGCGGUUGCGCUCUCAAACACGCAAGCAUUAUAAUGAAUGUGAGUGAUUCCAGACAAUCCGUCCACCAUCCGGCUUUGCUGUGGAUCCACUCCGGUGGUCGAAUCAGAUACGCAAGGCUUCUAUUUUUGCCGGACACCGCGGCACAACGCAUCAAUUCAGUGCAGAGCAGCAUGAGCGCCAGUGGAAGUUGUAUGCGGCUACAGAGUAACCGGUUAAUUAAAAUACUAUCAAGUCAAUACAUUGAACUGUUCUUCACAAGAUAAUGGGAGGGGCCACGGUUAUGGGAUGUGGGUGUUUAUAUACACCGCCGAUCUCAUGGUGAAUCACGUGAGAUCUUGUCCAGUUUUGCCAAAAAUAUCGGUAAUACCGCAAGUGCUUCUCCUCGGAUUGCUGCAACGGAUUGGAUCCAGUGGGCACUGUAUGCUUGUGUAUUUGAUCCACUGGCCGUUCCGGAGUGGAGCAGCGGAGAUCGGGUUUGCAUGCAGUGGAAUUCCCGGGUUGGAAGUGCACAAACAUCACCAUGAAUGGUCAAAGACAUGAUCACCAAGUAUUAGCUCUCCUACAAGGUCUCAACACAGAUGGUUACUGCUUCACUGGUCAUCAACUGCACAUACCAGGCCUUGCUCAAGGGCACCUCGACCUUCCCCUUGCAUGCCUGCUGACUGACACUUAUGUAACAUUGUGGUUAAACGUCUCAGUGAGUGUCAAAGUCAUCCCGCUGUGUGAGCCCAGGUCUAAAACGAUCCUCCAGCCUCAGAAGUCCGUAAAUCAGCCCCACAUUGUCAUUUGUGGUCGACCGGCAGAAGAUCCAUCACGGAAUCUAAACGCUGACACAGACAUUCAACACGGCCAGGACCGACACAGACGUGUGGAGAGGAGGAUAGAUACACGCGCAGAGGGACAGAAUAACUUAUCCUCUCGGUUUUCCACAAAUGAGCUCAGAAGAUUCAGAAGCAGUAGAGCCGCGCCAAGAGCAACAACAUCCCUACAGUUUAGGGACUCGAGGCCUGAGUCACAUCACACGAAAUGAGCGAAAAAGAUAAAGCGAAGAAAAGGAAGCCGUCUCUCUCUCACGUAUUCCAGUGUUUUCUUUUCCGUUACCCACCUCAGAUUUGCUGAACGCCGUGAGAUUAGAAGUGAGGAUGCUGAGGUUUUCCUGUCGUAACUCUUCCUCUCAGGACGACGGGGACAUUUUCACAUGAAUGCAUGAGGAACACGCACACACGAGUCAUGCAGACACUUUUUAAAACAUAGAAAUGUGCAGAUGUGUCAUGCACACCAACACACAGAUGUAAUCACUCAUUUCCAAGAGGCGGAGGUUGAUCGGAGUGUCGUCAGAUACUGAUUAACAAACUCCUCGACCACAUCCCCGACUCUGUGAAACGGCUCUUAUCGCUCAGGAUCUCCU